UACGGAGGGUGCAAACGUUGCUCGGAAUCAUUGGGCGUAAAGCGCACGUAGGCGGCUCGUUAAGUCGGAUGUGAAAGCCCUUGGCUCAACUGAGGAAGUGCAUCCGAAACUGGCAAGCUAGAGUACUAAAGAGGGUCGCGGAAUUCCCGGUGUAGAGGUGAAAUUCGUAGAUAUCGGGAGGAACACCAGUGGCGAAGGCGGCUCUCUGGACAGGAACUGACGCUGAGACGCGAAAGCGUGGGUAGCAAACAGG
rnacentral:rRNA from 1 species